rnacentral:rRNA from 1 species
UACGUAGGGUGCAAGCGUUGUCCGGAAUCAUUGGGCGUAAAGCGCGUGUAGGCGGCUUGUUAAGUCCGCUCUGAAAGCCCGGGGCUCAACCCCGGGAGGCGGGUGGAUACUGGCAAGCUCGAGUCCGGAAGAGGCGAGUGGAAUUCCUGGUGUAGCGGUGAAAUGCGCAGAUAUCAGGAGGAACACCAAUGGCGAAGGCAGCUCGCUGGGGCGUGACUGACGCUGAGACGCGAAAGCGUGGGGAGCAAACAGG